rnacentral:rRNA from 1 species
CUCAGCCGUAAGGGACAGGUGCGCAAAGCACAGGAAGGAUGGGUCAAGGACUGGUCAGUGAUGCCCUUAGAUGGUCCGGGCUGCACGCGCACUACAGUGGUCGCCGAAAUUACCUGAUAAUUUAAAUGGCGAUCGAGAGGGAAUGAGCUUUGUAAGAGGCUCAGGAAAGAGGAAUUGCUAGUAAUCGCGGACUCAUUAAGACGCGAUGAAUACGUCCCUGUUCUUUGUACACACCGCCCGUCGUUAUCGAAGAUGAAGACAGGCGCGAACGAUCUACCAGAAAGUGAGCGCAGGUCUUUAGAUCUGAUACAAGUCGUAACAAGGUAGCUGUAGGAGAACAUGUAGCUGA